GGUUAUAGCUUAGUGGUAGAGCGCUUGCCUAGCAUGUGCGAGGCCCUGGGUUCCAUCCUCAGCACCA
rnacentral:tRNA from 1 species